rnacentral:rRNA from 1 species
UUGGCCUACGGGGCGCAGCAGUGAGGAAUAUUGGUCAAUGGGCGGGAGCCUGAACCAGCCAAGCCGCGUGAGGGAAGAAGGUACAGCGUAUCGUAAACCUCUUUUGUCAGGGAACAAAGGCGGGGACUAGUCCCCGGAUGAGGGUACCUGAAGAAAAAGCAUCGGCUAACUCCGUGCCAGCAGCCGCGGUAAUACGGAGGAUGCGAGCGUUAUCCGGAUUUAUUGGGUUUAAAGGGUGCGUAGGCGGACUGUCAAGUCAGCGGUAAAAUACGGGGGCUCAACCUCCGCCCGCCGUUGAAACUGAC